rnacentral:lncRNA from 1 species
GCCGACGUAAGACCUCCACCGCGUCACCAUCAUCACCGCCUUGAUGGACCGCCUGCGCCUGCCUCCUUGUCAUCCACCACAUCAGUUGCCGCGGCUCCUUAAUCCUCUAGGGCGGAGAUCUCCAUCUUUCUAGGUUUUUUUUAUUUAAUUUUUUGCGAUGGGAUCGACGAGAUGUACGGGUAAUUUGAAAAAUAUGGAGAAUUUUGAUUAUUUCUUGUUCAAUUUCUUUUACUUGAUUUUUAAUUUUAAUUGAAUAGUUUUUUAUUCAAUAAAUGGGAAUGCACAAUUUUUAAUAAGAAUUUAAUUUAAUAUCGUAUUUUCUUCCAUUCGAAUGGAAACUCGUGUUUUGUUCGAGGGGGAGAAUGUUUAGUCCGUUUCAUAUGUUCGUGUGGGAGAAUGUUUAGUCAGUUUCAUAUGUUUAGUCAGUUUCAUAUGUUUAUUUCUCUUUCUAAUUUUGUGUAGUGGAUUUGGAUGUGAUUGUAGUAGAUUUAAAAUUCUUGCUUUGUGGACCGAUUUUGUUUUGAAUGAAUUAAAUUUACACGUUAUUGUCUUCUUCUUCUUUUUUCGGUGCAGGUUCUUGCACAAGCGGAGUGAUGGCAACAAGUGGGACGAGGUUGGGUGAUACUCGGGUGACUCUACUUUAGUCUGAGAUGACAUUGUUUAUUAAAGGGGGCUUUCGUUGAUAAUUUAGGCAAGUUUUUGGUGGGUUUUCUCUUUGUAAAGGGGAUUUUUUGUAGUGGAUUCAUAUAUUUUUGUAGUGGUUUUUGAUGAACUUGUAAUGGAUUUCAG